UUCAUUUUAAAAAAAAAAAAAAAAAAAAAAAAAAAAAAACACUUUCUUUUUUCUCUCUGGCUUGUCUUCCUCCUCUCCUCACUGUGCGAUGAUCAUCCAUGGCUUAGCAGAUUCGAAGUGUUGUUUUUGAGGUCCACCAUGCUAGAUCGUCACUGACCUUCAUUAUCGGCAGCCGAGUUCAUCUUUUUCGUUGAGUUCAGCAAUAAUAUUAGUUCCCAGGAACCAUAAGUUAAUAGAAACUUCACUACUGAUCUUAUUUGGGUGUUUAUCUGGUUAAUUCCCAAAAAAAGACAUAUUUUGAUGGAGACGAAGAAAUUGCUAAAGCACAAGAUACUACUAUAAAAAGCAACUAUGAAACUUUGAAUGAUAAUGUUGAGUUUAGCAUUUCAAGAGAUCAAAUUCGUGAAAUGACUAAUGUUCGUGAUGAAAUUGUUGAUCAUAUAUGGAGAGCAAAUCGACGAUGAAGAUAAUGAGUUAAGCUUAUUAACAAUUAGAACUUUUUUAAUAUUUUUCGUCAAGAUUGGACAAUUAUUAGUUCAUAUUUUAAUUAUGACUUUGUCAGUUUUGUGUUAUAGAUAAUGAGUUUCGUGAUUUUAAAUUACUUGAAUUUUUUUAAGAUGUUAAUGAGUAUUUUUUAUUUGAUUUUUUUAUAAUUUU